rnacentral:rRNA from 1 species
CCUACGGGCGGCAGCAGUAAGGAAUAUUGGUCAAUGGACGAAAGUCUGAACCAGCCAUCCCGCGUGCAGGAUGAAAGCCCUAUGGGUUGUAAACUGCUUUUAGCAGAGAAGAAAAGCUUUCAUUAAUGAGAGUCUGACGGUAUCUGCAGAAUAAGCACCGGCUAACUCCGUGCCAGCAGCCGCGGUAAUACGGCGGGUGCGAGCGUUAUCCGGUAUUACUGGGGUUAAGGGGUGCGUAGGCGGCAGGUUUGAAAUCUUGUCGCUUAACGAUAGAAUUGCCAAUGAUACUGGUACUCGUGAAUUGUGUUGAGGUUAGCGGAAUGUGACAUGUAGCGGUGAAAUGCAUAGAUAUGUCAUGGAACACCAAUUGCGAAGGCAGCUAACUGGGCCUUGAUUGACGCUGAGGCACGAAAGCGUGGGUAGCGAACAGGAUUAGAUACCCUAGUAGUC